AGCUUAUAAUCUUUAACUUAGGUUAUUUUAUUUUAUUAUGUUCAUUUAUCUUUAUCUUGCAUUAUUUUAUAUAGUAUUAAACAUCUUGAGUUUUUUUAUAGCAUAUUUUGCCUCAUGAGUCUUAGAGUUAUGCGGACCGUGGGAGAGAGAAUUGCGGAUCAGGUUGACCAGAUGUCUCCUAAGUCCAGUGAGGAUUACAGGGCAGGACGUGUCACCAAUGGUGUCACGAGGAAUUGAUGGUUAUGGCUUUCCAAGCAUGAUUUACUUGAAUUACUGAGCCCUGGGGGCAGAAUGAUAUACUAUUGUUUUCUUAGAUAUAAUUUAAAGCAUGUUGGCAGUUGAGUUAUAUAAAUGUUUGAUGACAGGUGAAAAUUUUGGGAAAUGAGUAAAUUACAGGGGAAACUCUGCCAAAUUUUCUGCAGAAGAUAAUCUUAUUUUAAAAGUGGAUUUUUAGUUAGAAAGGCAGUGUCUUUGUGCCUGGAAUUAUCCAGGUGUCGGACACUCACAGGGUUCAGCUCGGAUUCCAAAGUGGAAUUUGGGUUGGGUCCUGUCACUCCAGGUCCCAUGUCAUCAUCACAUUCGUCCUCAUCGUCAUCAUCAUCACUGUCAACUGCUUGGCCAAUGACUUCUCCCCGUAACCCAACUCAAAUAUUUUCC
rnacentral:lncRNA from 1 species